AAUAAACUAUAAACAAAGCUAGCUGAUAAACACGGAAAAGGGGAUUCCAUCGUUUGCAAAUAUCAACCUAUAAAAUCGUCUGGCAAUAAAUUAAAUGUAUAGUUUUCCCUAGAACGUUACAAGUGAAGCUCCAGUAAAAUGAUGAAAAUAAGCUACAUUUUUGCUUUAAUCGUAGUUUUGUUUAUCAUUUCUACAGAAGCAACGUUUGGCGAUGAGGAAAGUCACACUGGACGUGUGGAAAGGGGUUUUUUCUGCAAUCCGGCUAUUUGCCACAGAAAGUGCAGAUUAGAUGGAUAUAGGAGAGCGUCGUGUUCAGGCGAUGAGUGUAUUUGCAUUUAAUACAAUUGAUUCUAACUUAUGCAACAAUUAAAACUGUAUGCUGAAAUAAACAUUAAACCAGUUUA